UAUCUCUAUAUUAAAAUAGAGAAAUUGUUCAAUACAACACGCCUUGACGGUGCUCUAAGAAGUCAAUAAAGUUUUACAUAGAUGUUCAGAUCAUCCCUAAUGUACUAUAGGCUAAGCUAUUACACUGGAUAGAGACCAACCAAACUUGCAGCGCUGGCCAAAAGGCCUAAGCCCGUGCAGCCGAGCGGCGACGCUGCUGGUGCGCGCCUACCUCGCCAGCCUUGCAUACGAUAUGAGCGGAGUCAUCGUUAAAGAUUUCAUCAUACGCCAUCUUGGUGACAUCGACGGAGAUGGGCUUCCCGCUGGAUUUAAUAUAUAAAAAUCAAAAGAAUAUAGAUUUAGGUCACACUACACUCACUGCGUGAAAAACUUACGUCCCCCCACAUUUGUCAUCAUUACAGUGACUGGGCCAGCAACCAGGAAGUCAGCCGCCCUUGCAGUGUUCUCUGUAGGGGCUGGUGUUACCAGCCGCCCUUACAGUGGGGGAGGCACUGUAGAGGCGGCUGGUGUUACUAGCCGCCCCUACAGUGGUGUAGCAUAUAUAAGUGGCCAGUCCACUAUUCCUCCUCCCCGAGCCACUCACUUCCACUCGAAAAAAAGACUUGGGAAGCCUUGGGCACCUCCCUAAAAUCACUCUAGGAAGGAGGAGGUUUUGAACUUAAAUCCUUUGGUGGAGAGCUUGUUUAAGGUAAGAAAAUGCUAUUCCCACCCUCUAAUCUAAGUUUUAUUGGUUGGUUAGUGAGCAAUUUAUAUUUUGGUUUUCUCUCUCUUUCAUGGAGCUUGAGCUUUGUGUUGACCAAAUUAGAGCUUAUCUUUGAUGUUAUUAGUGUAGAAUAAGUAGAGACAUCACCUUGCACCAUCAAUUAGAUGAUAUAGCUUGAUUUUAAUUGAGAUUAAUUGUAGUUUUAUGUAUGGAGAGAAAAGGCAUUCUAGAUCUAGGGUUUCUUUUUUUUGUUUUUGUUUCAUAAAAUUGGAAUGUGGUUGGCAUGAAUAGUUAUUGGUAAACUAAUAGUUGUUGCUAAUAUUAAUUGUUUCUAAUAAUGGUAGAUAAUAAUUGGUACUAUUAAUUAUGUCUAAUUAUCGUUUCUAACACAAUUAUUGCUAAUAAUGAUAGCUAAUAAUUGUUGCUAAUAAUGGUAGAUAAUAAUUGUUACUUAUUAAUUGUUGCUAAUAAUGGUAGCUAAUAAUUGUUGCUAAUAAUUAUUCUCAAGUAAUUAAUUUAUUUUUUUUAUUUAUGUAAAGAUGGAGAACAAGCCUACUUGGAUCUACAGUACUAUAUAUAUAGCUGCACGUACGCCUGCUCUGUACGGGAUUCUCAAAUCCCAUAUCAAAAUAGUCUCAAAGUCUUGUACUCUAAAGAAAAAAAAAGACCAACAACAUAGUUUGACGUAGAUGACACUGAUGUCAAGUCGUCUCUCGGAAACGCUGGAAACAAAGUGCGUGAGUCGCCGGCUGCCUAGCCAUUGCCGCGUAGCUAUUCACGUCGAGUAGUCGGAGUCGACGACGGGCGUGACACACAUCGACGAAACACAGCCCUGAAGGCUGAAGCAGCGGAGGCAAAUCGACUUGCCUGUAUAUAUGCAUAUUUCUUACUGAGCUAGAGGUCUCAUAAACCUAUAAGCAAGACUAAUAAUACUCUACUUGCUGGCCGUAAAAUAUCAGCCCUAUAUCAUCCACUUAUCUCUCUUAUGAAGUCACCAAAGUCCUCACUUUAAGAUUGACAAGAGUGGUGGAUAAGCUGAUUAGUCCCUUUCAAACAGCUUUUAUUCCAGGGAGAAAUAUUUUAGAGGGAGUAGUGAUUGCCCAAGAGGUGCUGCACGAAAUGAGAGUGAAAAAAAUACCUAGAAUUAUUCUGAAACUGGACCUUGAGAAAGCUUAUGACAAAGUUAGUCGGUCCUUUUUGGAAAAAGUUAUGAGAGCAAAAGGCUUUGGAGAGAGGUGGAUACAUUGGAUCAAUUGUGUUGUCAGAGGUGGUAGAGUGUGUAUUGAUGUCAAUGGUGAACGAGGAGAAUUCUUUAGAAGUUUCAAGGGUUUGAGACAAGGAGACCCUCUAUCCCCUCUACUGUUUAAUCUGGUUGCGGAUGCUCUCUCUGCUAUGCUGUCCAGAGCAAGUGUGUCAGGCAUAAUUCAGGGGCUGGUUCCAAAUCUAAUUGAUGGUGGUUUAACCCACUUACAGUAUGCAGAUGACACAGUUAUUUUUCUGAGUUUUUCUCUAGAGAAUGUGAGAAAUUUGAGAUUAAUCCUUAAUUGCUACGAGGCAAUGUCGGGGAUGAAAAUAAACUUUGACAAAAAUGAGGUAUACACAAUGGGUGUGACUGAGGAAGAUCAACAGGAAGUUACUAGAGUUCUUAAUUGUAAAAUGGGCUCUUUUCCAAUGAAGUAUCUAGGAAUGCCGGUUAGUGACUGUAAGAUAACUAAAGCACAAUUCAAAUAUGUCAGUGACAAAGCUGAAAAACGGCUAGGGACUUGGCAGUGUGAUUAUUUGUCUUCAGGAGGCAGGUCCAUCUUGAUUGAGUCCUGUUUAUCUGCUAUCCCUAUGUACACGAUGGGUGUGUACCAGCUGUAUGAAGGAAACUACCAGGCUAUUGACUUUAUUAGAUCGAGAUUCUAUUGGCAAGGUACUGGUAAAAAACGUAAGUAUCAAAUGAUCAAAUGGGAAGCUUUAAGUAGACCUAAAGAAGCUGGAGGUUUGGGUUUCAUGGAUGUUAGAGCUAUGAAUAUUAGCUUGCUUGCAAAAUGGAUUGACAGAUUAGAGAGAGAAGACAACAAUAUAUGCUGUAAUCUUCUAAGAAAGAAAUAUUUGGGGGAGAAGAGUAUCUUCCAAAUUAGAAGUAGACAGGGUUCCCAAUUUUGGAGGUCUUUACUUGGCAUUCGAGACUGGUUCCAGAGGGACAAAAUUAUUCAAGUAGUCAGUGGCCGUCAAACGCGUUUCUGGCAAGACUGCUGGUUAGGGGAAUGUCCUUUGAAGGUCUUUUUCCCCAAUAUCUUUAGUAUCGCGUUGCAUCCUGAUAUAGAUGUUUACCAGGCCUUUACUGAGGGACAAUGGCGUGUUCUUUUUAGAAGACAACUCCAGGGGAUUUAUGGAGCGGAGUGGGAACAGUUACAAGAGAUGCUGAUAGAGGUUAACUUGGGAGUAGGUAGAGAUAAAAUGUUUUGGGCCUUAGAACAAUCCAGAAAAUACACCUCAGGUUCCUUAUAUAGAGCUAUUACGUUUGGUGGUGUUAGAGAUCAGCGUUUGAUGAAUGUGUGGAAAUGUAAUAUCCCUCUGAAAGUCAAGAUUUUUAUCUGGAUGGCGGCGCAUGAUAGAAUCCAAUCAAGGGUUCAGCUUAAGAAAAAACAGUGGUCAGGGCGGAGGAAUGUGCUGCUUGUGAUAGUUUAGAAACAACAGAUCACAUUUUAUUCCAGUGCCCACUUGCAGUGUAUCUUUGGUCAUUCUUGAGAGUUUCUUUGAGCUGGUCGGCCUCUCCGACCAAUUGCACAGAUUUCCUAAUGGAGUUUGCUGAAGAUUGUAGAGGUGCUAAGCGCAAGGUGACACUUUUUAUAUGUGCAGGUGCGUUAUGAACAAUCUGGAAGACGAGGAAUGACAUGGCUAUCAACAAGAAGAUUGUUUCGUCUCCCAAGGUGAUCAUCUUCAAGACACUGAUGCUGAUCAAAACAUGGCGCCCACUUUUAAAAGCGAAGCUGGAUCCUACAGCGAACGAGAUGAUCAAUCUGCUAGACUCCAACUUACAGUAGCGUUUUCUUUGUUGGUGUUGGGUGUCCGCUUUUAGAGUGUUUUUUUGGUUGACCGUUGGGUGUCUGUUGGUCUCUUUUGUUUCAGAUGCUUUAGCUUGGGCCUUAGAGGUUUUUGGAUUGUGUCGAGUUCUGAGUUACCCUGUUCAGGUGUGCCUUUUUGUAAACUAGAAACCCCAGUGCUCAGACCUUGGGUGAUUGUUACGCUUUUCUAAUAAAGCUGGGUGAACGCCUUUGGUCUAAAAAAAUCUCUCUUGUGAAGUUUCUUGGUUUAUGUGCUUAAGCUGGCGGUAAGCUUGCAGUCUGCUCCUCCUCUCUCUCCUCUCCUCUCUCCUCUACCUCAACAUUUAGUCAGCUUACAGCCAGUUACCAUACUUGCUCUCAGGAAUUAGGCCCCUUGCUUUUUAAGGCCCGGUGCGGCCGCCUAGCUUGACCCACCUCAGGGCCAGCCAUAGUCAAACUCAUCGUGUUGAAGUUGUUGACAAACAAGGCGUCCAUGGGGACUGUUGUUGGGGUUGUUGGACCUGAAGGAGGGUACCCGAGUGGGCGCACCAGCUGAGGCUCCCUGCAAACCGGGUCUGGCGCCGAAGCCGGUAACAUAUACGAUAGCCAGCCCGUUGGAGCACCCUAGGGCAGUAUGGAGUGCGGCAGCGCAACAAGCGGGUGGUGGCAGCAGCGUGCUCGCCCUGAGCGGAUCGCGGAUGCACAGUCAAGUGGUUCAGACCAGAUCACGAGCCGACGCGGAAGAUAGGCGCGAGCAGCUAGCAAACACGUGCUUUAUCGUGUGGGGAGCAGGCACCUAAAGCACUCAUAAUACAGAAACCAUCGUAAUUUCUAUAAACAUUAAUUGUAUUACUGUCUAAGUAUUCUACUGAUGUGACAAGGUAUUAUUGAAGAGAGACAGAGAACAAAAAUCAUAGAAAACGGAUCUAUGUUAAAAACCAUAUCUAUACGAGAACUAAGACAUAAAGUAAUAUGAUUGAUCGAGAAUGGAGAAAGAAUGAAUGUGAUUGGAGAAAAAAAUAGUAGAGACUAUCCAUGUGGUUUCUAUAUGUAGUAUAUGUAGUGUCCAUAGAAAUUAAUAAAUAUAGAAACUACUUGUAAUUUCUAACAUUGGGACUGCCCUUAGCAGACAUGGAGGUGAUGUGCAGCUGCAUGAGAGGGAGAGAUUGGAUACACAGAAAACCUAAGUGUUCGUAUUUAUAUAAGCUCGAUAGAGAAGUCCGAUAUGGGCUCUUUGGCUAGGUUUCCCAGGCAAACCUCUUAAGAGGACUAUCUAAAAAAUGCUCUCUAUUUUCUGAGCUAAACUUCUUAAAACGUCACCUCUAUAAAUUAAUUUUAGGCGAUGGUUAUUUUGCAACCAUCUAUGUAAAUCAAUUUUACAAUACAGCCAUUUGUGACUGCCACUUAUCUACCUCUAUGAUCACCUCCAUAAAUAAAAACUUCCACCUCUAAAAAUCCUCAAGCAUUUUAAGAGACGGUUGAAUUUUCUAACCGUCUCGAUUAUUGUUUUAGGUGGGUAUUAUAUUAUAAAAUCGUUUGUGUAGUAGUGUAUUGAAGAUGUUUUAUAUAGUGUGCACCUCCAAAAAUCAAUUUAUAAAGAUGGACGUCUCAAGAUAACCAUCUCUAUUAGUCGAUGAUUUUCUGAGGCAGAGGCCUGCCUCUGUAACACGGAUGGUUGCUAGUUGUACCUGCCUCGUUAAUAGAGAUCUUAUCUCCUCAAAUCAUUUUUUAAUAGUGAUUGCAUCGAGCAAAUGACGUGUACAUGACAAAAGAAUCAUUCUUACCAAGAAUUAUAUACUUGGAAACAAAUUAAUUUUCUGUGAAUAAGGAAUCUUCAGGCCGGACGGAAGAAUAAAAUUCAAAUUUUUGUGACUAUGGCCUUAGUUCCAAAAUAUUUUGGAAAAUAAGCACGGUAGCACUUUCAUUUGUAUGUGAUAAAUAUUGUCCAAUCAUAGACUAAAUAGGCUCAAAAGAUUCGUCUCACAAAUUACAGACAAACUGUAUAAUUAGUUAUUUUUUAUCUAUAUUUAAUGUUUCAUACAUGUGUUGUAAAAUUCGAUGUAAUAAGAAACGUGAAAAUUUUUUGCAAAAUUUUCUCGAAACUAAACAAGGCCUAUAUACGUUAUCUACACGUAGGUUCAGGGUCGUUUUGGCGUGUAUACUCAGUCCCAUCAUGCAUCUAUAGGACAGAUUGAAUCGACCCAAGUGAACAGGAAAAGGGAACUGACAACUAGUUGUUGCUGUAAUUCAAUCAUCACUCAUUACAUAUAUAAUGGAUUUCUGAUGCGCUAGUACAACCUGUAGUAUACGCAAAGCAGGGUAGACCCUGUGAACCGAAGUCAUGGUCUCAGUCGUCGCUAGUUUCUCUGAUCUAGUACUCUACAUGCUGCUAUGAAUGUUUUAGCAAGCAGAGGGAGAGUCAGGCCUUGUUUAGUUUGCAAAAAUUUUCAAGAUUCCCCAUCACAUCGAAUCUUUAGUCGCAUACAUAGAACAUUAAAUAAAGAUAAAAAUAAAAACUAAUUACACAGUUUAUCUGAAAUCUAUGAGAUGAAUCUUUUGAGUUUAGUUACUCCGUGAUUGAACAAUGUUUGUCAAAUAAAAACGAAAGUGCUACAGUAGCAAAAAAAAAAAACCAAAAUUUUGCCGACUAAACAAGGACUCAGUCAUCGUCUCCUCUUGAGGCUUGUGUAUGGUACAGCACGGCCUUCCUCCAAGUCCAAGUCCAUGUGCGCCACUGCCUGUUUUUCCACUGUCUCCCUAGAUCACGGUGAUGGUUAGAGCAUCUCCAACCAUUAUGCAUUUGAAUUUAUACAUUUUAGGCAAAUUGCGAAUUCCCAAAUGAAAAUGACAAGGCUAAAAUCGGAUGAUCUCCAACCGUUAUGUAAAAUGCCAAGUCCAUCAUCUUUUUUUUCCCGGAAAUUUUGUUUCGCGGCACUCCUUCCCGCGCGGCCUCGAUCCCGCGCCAAACAGCCCGCCGUCGUCUCCCGUUCACCAAUUCCCGCGCCAAACAGCCGCGCAGUACCGACCGUGAGUUGCGCAGUUCGUCGUUCCCGUUCGCAGUACCGAUCUCCCGUUCCGUUAGUUCCCGUUCACCGUACCGUCUGUUGGCCAUCAGUUCGUCGUCGUACAGGUUCGCCCCUUGGCUCCAGUACCGAUCUCCAUCAGGUCGCCGCCAUCAGUCAAGCUGGCGAAGGAGGACGCACGAUGCUUCUCCUAUCGCGUGAAGUGGUGGCGGCGCGAAGGGAAACCGCGCGAAGGGAAGAAAAAAGCUCGCGAGGUGGAACCGAGAAUCCCUUAAUCUCUAUUUGCAUAGCCGGACUCCUUUGGCAUAUAUGCCAAAUUUCCCCCUCCAAAUGCAUAGCUAUGUAAAAUGCAAAGUCCAAAUGCAUAACGAUUGGAGGGGUUUUUUUGGAGUUUUAUGCAUUUUGGUAAAUGCCAAGUCCAUUUGCAUAAUGGUUGGAGUUGCUUUUAUGUUUGCAACUGGAGACUAGUGCAAGCGAAUCUGCUGGGCUACCAAACUAGCAGUCCACUGGUUCAGUUCAGUUCCUGUCAAUUCUUCGGAACAAACCUUCUACUCCCUCCAUUCUAAUUGGAAAUCAUUCCAAGAAUCACGUAGAGUCAAAGCAUUCUCACGUUUGACCAAAAUUAUAGAGAAAAAUAAUAAGAUUUGUAAUGUAAAGUGAGUAUACUAUAAAAAUAUAAUUGAGCAAGAAUCUAAUGAUAUUUAGUUAGUAUCAUAACAAUAAUUAUUUUAUCAUAUAAAUUUGGUCAAACUUAGAAAAGUUUGACUCUGCAAGAUUCUUGGAAUGACUUACAAUUUUGGAUAGAGGGAGUACGUUACUUCGUAGUAGCACGUUCAAACCUUCAGAUGGACGGGAUCAAAUAAGUUCUUUCCAUCGAGCUUAAACCGAUGAAGAUUCGCAAUUACCGAAAUUGGUUGGCUCAUCAUACUCUGCAGUUCUUCAAGAGAAACGAAUGAGUCCGUUAACAUUCCAACUUCAUUAUUCAUGGAUGCCAGAUUCCGGAAAGAAGAGGAUGAGGAAACCAUGCAUAGAAACACGCUUCCAGAAUGCAGAGUUGUGAGAAAACUAAGCGUAAAACACAUUUCCACACUAAUAAAUUGGGUGGAGUUCUCCUAGUGUCUUUAAUUAGUAAUAAAAUACUACCAGUAGUCAUAACACUAGAGAAUACUCAAUAAGAUAAGACACAUUAAGAGAGAAAGUUUGUACUAAAUUUUGAAUGCUAAAACACUAGGAGAAGACCACAUUACUGAGAAAUUGAAAAUUUUGGUUGUGCCAUAACACUGUCAUAGGAAAAAAAAACACAACCAUAGAAUCAACGGUCCAGUCCUAGUCAACAUGGGAGGCAAUGCACCUGGCCAUCUGCGCGUUUCCACUUUACAGCACAGACACACAGCAGGCAGUACAUGUAAGAAUAGCGAUUCAGCAGAGUGCAUGAUGGCAUGGGACCUGAUGAUCCGAGGGAGGCAAUGCAUCUGGCCAUCUGCGUGUUUCCAUAUGUACUGCUAGUAUUGUUUGCUGAUUUAUUGUGAGAGAAAAAUACUACUGACUGGUACAAAAAAUACGGCUUAUAAGACAACCGACCGGAGCCUCAUUAUCAGUCAGAGCAACCAAUAAGCUCUACGCCGCCGCUGCUGCUGGCAAUGAACCGAAAGCCACCACCGGCCAUGGUGCUCCUCAGAAUCAGGCGCUUGCUCCAGCUGCUCCUACUGACCUCCGCUGCAGCAACAACCAGUGCAACGAUCUAUUCGCCAGGCCAUGGCCAUGGCCAUGACCAUGACGAUGAGAGAGCUCUUCUGUCACUCAAGGCCAAGAUCUCCCGCCACUCUGGCGUCCUGGAUUCGUGGAACCAGAGCAGCAGCUACUGCAGCUGGGAGGGCGUCACUUGCGGCAAGAGACACGCGUGGCGGGUGGUCGCUCUGGACCUCAGCUCCCAGGGGCUCGCCGGCACCAUCUCCCCCGCCAUCGGCAACCUCACCUUCCUGCGCUUACUCAACCUGAGCUACAACAGCCUUCAUGGCGAGAUACCUGCUAGCGUUGGCUCCCUCAGGCGCCUUCGACGUCUUCACCUGAGCGGGAACAUGAUCACUGGUGUCAUCCCGAGUAACAUCAGCCGCUGCAUCAGCCUCCGUGGGAUUAUCAUCCAAGACAACAAAGGCCUGCAGGGAAGCAUCCCAGUUGAGAUUGGCAGCAUGCCAGCGCUCUCAGUUCUUGCGCUGGACAACAACAGCAUUACCGGAACCAUCCCGUCGUCUCUUGGGAAUCUUUCACGGCUGGCCGUGCUGUCCUUGCCAAGGAACUUCCUCGAGGGACCAAUCCCUGCAACCAUCGGCAACAAUCCAUAUCUCACCUGGCUUCAGCUCUCUGCUAAUGACCUCUCUGGCUUGCUCCCUCCUUCCCUAUACAACCUAUCAUUUCUUCAGGACUUUUUUGUGGCUAGCAACAAGCUGCAUGGCCAUCUACCAACUGACCUGGGGAAAAGCCUUCCGAGCAUCCAACAGUUUGGGAUUGGAGAAAACCGAUUUACUGGCACACUUCCACUGUCACUGACCAAUCUCUCAAAGCUCCAGACUCUUUAUGCCGGAUUCAAUAGUUUUACUGGAAUUGUUCCCACCGGAUUGAGCAGAUUGCAAAAUCUUGAAUCACUUCUUCUGGAUGACAAUAUGUUAGAGGCAAAUAACGAGGAGGAGUGGGCAUUUAUUGAUUCUUUGGCGAAUUGUAGCGGGUUACAGACACUGUCCAUUGGAAGGAACAGGCUUGCGGGGAAGCUGCCAGGUUCUGUGGCAAAUUUGUCCACUAAUCUCCAGUGGCUACAGAUUCCCUACAACAACAUAUCGGGUGUCAUCCCAUCAGAUAUUGGAAAUUUGGCAAGUCUUCAAAUGCUUGAUUUUCGCAUAAACUUGCUCACUGGGGUCAUUCCUGAAAGCAUAGGGAAGCUUACAUUACUGCAGAAGCUAGGCCUGAUUUCAAACUCCCUCUCAGGACGUCUGCCAUCCUCUAUCGGAAACCUUUCUAGUCUACUUGAAUUUGAUGCAAACGGCAAUAGCUUCUACGGGCCAAUUCCACCAAGCAUUGGAAACUUGAGCAAACUUUUAGGCCUAGAUCUGUCAUAUAACAAGCUUACUGGACUGAUUCCUAGAGAAAUUAUGGAGCUGCCAUCGAUCUCAAUUGAUCUUGAUCUGUCCAACAGCAUGUUGGAGGGAGCACUUCCAUUAGAAGUUGGUAGCUUGGUAUAUCUUGAACAGCUCUUCCUAUCAGGAAACAAUUUGUCAGGUGAGAUACCUGAUACUAUUGGCAAUUGCAGGGUCAUGGAAAUCCUCUCAAUGGAUGGCAAUUCACUCCAAGGAAGCAUACCUGCUACAUUCAAGAACAUGGUAGGCUUGACUGUACUUAAUUUGACGGACAACAGGCUGAAUGGAAGCAUCCCUAGCAACCUGGCUACCCUUACCAACCUACAGGGUUUGUAUCUUGGCCACAAUAAAUUAUCUGGAACAAUCCCAGAGAUUUUAGGUAAUUCAACAUCGCUGCUUCACCUAGAUCUGUCUUACAAUAAUUUGCAAGGUGAAAUACCAAAAGGAGGAGUUUUCAAAAAUUUGACUGGACUAUCAAUUGUUGGUAACAAUGAGUUAUGCGGGGGAAUACCACCGCUCCAUCUGCCAAAAUGCCCAAGCUCUUGCACAAGAAAGAAUAGAAAAGGCAUACCCAAGUUUCUUAGAAUAGCAAUCCCAACAAUAGGAAGUCUCAUCUUACUUUUUCUGGUUUGGGCUGGAUUUCACCACAGAAAGUCCAAGACAGCACCGAAGAAAGAUUUACCAACAGAAUUUCCAGAGAUAGAGCUUCCAAUAGUUCCAUACAACGAUAUACUGAAAGGAACAGACAGAUUUUCUGAAGCAAACGUGCUUGGAAAGGGAAGAUAUGGUACAGUAUAUAAGGGCACCCUAGAAAAUCAAGCCAUUGUUGUAGCUGUUAAGGUAUUCAAUCUCCAGCUAUCAGGGUCAUAUAAAAGUUUCCAGGCGGAAUGUGAGGCACUAAGGAGAGUAAAGCACCGAUGCCUUGUAAAAAUCAUCACAUGUUGUUCAAGCAUCGACCACCAAGGUCAGGACUUUAGAGCACUAGUCUUUGAGUUGAUGCCUAAUGGAAGCUUAGAUAGAUUGAUCCAUUCAAAUUUAGAAGGCCAAAAUGGCCAAGGAGCACUCAGCUUGUCACAGUGGCUGGAUAUAGCUGUGGACAUUGUGGAUGCUUUGGACUAUCUUCAUAACGGUUGCCAGCCAUCGAUCAUCCAUUGCGAUCUAAAGCCAAGUAACAUUCUUCUCAAUCAGGACAUGAGGGCUCGUGUUGGGGAUUUUGGAAUUGCUAGAGUUCUAGAUGAAGCAACAAGCAAACAUCCUGUGAAUUCUGGGAGCACAUUAGGAAUAAGAGGUUCCAUCGGUUACAUUGCGCCAGGUAGCUCUAAUUUGUUGUUCUGUUUCCCAUGUGCUUCACAUGAUAGCAUCCAAUUAAUUAUCCCUAGGCCCAUCAAAUAUUGUACAUACCUACAUGUGUUCAUGUUUUAAUCCAAUGCAGAAUAUGGAGAAGGUCUUGCAGUAUCGACUUGCGGUGACAUGUUUAGUCUUGGUAUCACCUUGCUAGAGAUAUUCACAGCAAAAAGGCCAACAGAUGAUAUGUUCAGAGAUGGUUUAAGCCUACAUGGUUAUGCUGAGGCGGCUCUUCCUGACAAAGUUAUGGAGAUAGCAGAUUCCAACCUAUGGCUGCAUGAUGAAGCAAGCAAUAGCAAUGAUACAAGGCAUAUAACAAGAAGCAGGAAAUGUUUGUCCGCCAUCAUUCAGCUUGGUGUCCUUUGCUCAAAGCAAUUGCCCUCAGAGCGUUUGUCAAUAAGCGAUGCUACUGCAGAGAUGCAUGCUAUCAGAGAUAAGUAUAUUAGUGCUCAGUGAUGUCAGAUUGGCUACCAUGUUUGUCUAAUUUUAUUGUCAAAGUCCAUAUGUAAUAUAUUUGCUUCUUUUUUGCUUGUGAGUUUGUAGACCUUAUAUUAGUUGGUAUUGUUAUGGUGCUGUGUUGCCAAUACCAUAGGCAGCAUCAUUCAUGAAUCAUGAAAGAAAUUUUGAUUAUCCUGAGAAAAAUCCACAUUUCCGACUAGUUCCCACCUCAAAGUUGAACCCCACCGUUAUAAACACAAGAAUGUGCACAAUAUGCAGUAAUUUGCAAAGUUGAAAAAGAAUAUCAUUGUGACAUGCAUUAUGAAACACAUGUGGUGACAUGCUAUUACAGUAAGGCAAUGUGUGGCGACCCACUCCCCUCACAACGCCUAGGCGCAUAAGGUGCGAGGUGAAGCGAUGCCAUGGACAUAUAAUGAACAUGCUAUUACAGUGUUGGAAAAGUGAUCCCGGGCUAGUGGAGAUGGGCCAAUGCCCAGAACCAUUGAGCCCAAGUCAGGGGGGGGGGGGGGGGGGCACGUAGCUCCUCUGUGCGCCAUGAUCGGGGGCGGCCCCUAACAACCUAAGGUUGUGGCCCCAAGCUGAGACUGAGAGGCACUACAUGUAGUGGGAAGACAGUUACCUGUGUGAGUCAACGCAUGCACAAAAGUGCCCUCCCCGGAUCAAGAAGAGGCUGUGCUACGAGGUGGCACUGGUGGAUCAGAGGUGAGGUGGUACGUCUGCAAUCUCGAUCUACUUCGCUGAUGGUGGACUAUCCAGCUCUAGAUUAUGGUUAGUCACCAAUUCACAUUAGAUUAAAUUGUGUCCAAGUGAUUAGAUCAGAGAUCCUGUGGUUCACUCCCCAAUUUAUCCAAUAUUGUGGCAUCCGAGCCAACUGAUCUAGUUGCUGGACCACUGAUGCGUCGAUUUCACCUCGGAUUAAGUUAAUUUUGAGGUGAAAUUACCUGUUUAGUGCCCUAAUUGCUCUCGGUUGUGCUUAAUUAGCCAUGCUGACGAUGUUCCAGGCCCUAUUUAAUCAUGCUCUAAGACAAUUAAGUGUCUGGUUAUGCCUAAACCUAAUUAUGCAUGUUUAGGGCCCAGGUUUAGUUAAUCAUAAUGAUUAGUCACGGGUUAAUGAUGUUGUGCCCAAUUUGAUGCCUACUUGCUAACAGAUUUUAGUCCUAAUAAUUGUGUAUGAAAUCGUGGCAAAAUUCACGUGCGGGGCUAAGGUUCGGAUCAGCAUGUAGACGUGGGGGAGUCAUGUAAAUCUCAAAAAAAACUCUCCAAAUUACCGAACCCUAGAUCAUGAUUUUCGGGAUGAUUACCUCGGUUUGGUGUCGCUGUCGGCUGUCGCUGCUAGGUGUCCGCUCGUGCAGCCUUGCCGGACGCGCCAUCAGGCGUGCGCAGGCGAUCUCGCACGCAUGAGCUGGCAGCCUGGCAGAGUGCCACCGAUGCCACGCGCGCAUCAGGGAGGCACCGCAACUGCGCCGACCGCGGACCACGCCGCGCAUCAGGGUGCCGCUCUCGCGCGGCCGCCGCACAUAAGGGCGGCGACGGAGCCGCCGCGCGCCGUGCUGCACAGGCCAUCACGCGGCUUCCGCUUCGCCACCGUGCUGCACAGACCUCCCGAGCGCAGUCUUCACCGGCACCGGCGACGAGCCGCUCGUCAGAGCCGCACCGCACGCGCGCUCCGGCGAGUGGGCCGUCGCCAGAUUCCCAGCAGCUGACCCUGCUUGCGUGAAAACCAUCGGAUGGUCGUUAUAGUUGCGGGCCAUAAGUGGGCUGGCAAGCUUGACGAGCGGGUAACCGUCAUCGCGGCCCAUUAAGCUAGUGCGGGUGCACGUUAAGCCAGUGUGGUAUGCUUUUAUUGUUUUUUAGCCAUGCGUUUGGC
rnacentral:lncRNA from 1 species